rnacentral:lncRNA from 1 species
CUAAAGCAAGUUUACCUAAUCCAGUUUUCUAUUCCAGUUUUGAAAUAAUGAAUAUGUUUCGGGGCUUUAAUGAAAAUAAUGAUCCAUUUCAGAUAGCAUUAUUAUGAGAGUUAAUUGAAGAUAAUCCCAUAUAAUUAAAGCAUCACAGUAUUUUCAACAAAGUAAGCAUUUAAUAAAGGUUAAGUGUGCAGAGUGGAAGCAGAAAUCAUCCUCUCUGUAAUUAUAUGAGGAUUAAUUAACUAUUUAUGUGAGACUGAAGGGGAACCACCAAGGAAUAGUGAGCUUAUUUGUGUGAUGUAUCUGGAACACAUUAUUUAAUCCAUACAUUUGCUGAGCGUUUGUUGCUCCCUUCCUCUAUGCUUCCAUUCCAUGCCAUGAAUCUUUUAUAGCUUUUACCACACAACAGGCAAUCAACAGUAUUUUUGGACUAUUGCCAGCCAACUGUGAGCUUCUUGAAGGCAAAGGAUAUUUUAUUUGUUUCUUUGUCUCUAUUACUUCUCCUGAGUCAAAUAUGUUACUUACUAUGCUUUUAAUGUUUAUAACUCUCUUAUUUAUGUAAUGUCUCAAGUCAACUUCAUGAAAUUUACUGUCACUUACUGUUUGUUUUGAAUAAUCCAAAC